CCCUUAGAUGUCCUGGGCCGCACGCGCGCUACACUGAUACUUUCAGCGAGUCCACCACCUUGCCUGAGAGGGUGGGGUAACCUCUGGAAAGUGUAUCGUGAUGGGGAUCGAUUAUUGUAAUUAUUAAUCUUCAACGAGGAAUUCCUAGUAAGCGUGAUUCAUCAAAUCGCGUUGAUUACGUCCCUGCCCUUUGUACACACCGCCCGUCGCUCCUACCGAUUGAAUGUGUUGGUGAGGAGUUCGGAUUGGCAAUGGGCGGUGGUUUUCCACUGCCUAUGGCUGAGAAGUUCUCCAAACCGCCCCAUUUAGAGGAAGGAGAAGUCGUAACA
rnacentral:rRNA from 1 species